rnacentral:rRNA from 1 species
UACGGAGGGUGCAAGCGUUAUCCGGAAUCACUGGGCGUAAAGCGCACGUAGGCGGAUGUGUCAGUCAGGGGUGAAAUCCCGGAGCUCAACUUCGGAACUGCCUUUGAUACAGCACGUCUUGAGUCCGGAAGAGGUGGGUGGAAUUCCUAGUGUAGAGGUGAAAUUCGUAGAUAUUAGGAAGAACACCGGUGGCGAAGGCGGCCCACUGGUCCGGUACUGACGCUGAGGUGCGAAAGCGUGGGGAGCAAACAGG